GUCUACGGCCAUACUACCCUGAAUGUGCCCGAUCUCGUCUGAUCUUGGAAGCUAAGCAGUGUUGGGCCUGGUUAGUAUUUGGAUGGGAGACUUUUGACAAGAAACAACUGAUUAAAUA
rnacentral:rRNA from 1 species